UCUCCGUUGGUGAACCAGCGGAGGGAUCAUUACAGGAUCGAAAGACUCCUAUAACCCCUGUGAACUUACUACAAAUACGUUGCUUCGGCGGGUGCCCCGGGUCUCCCGGGGCGUUCAGCCCGCCGGCAGCCUUCAAAUUCUGUUUCUUUGCGUUGGCAUCUCGAGUAUACAAAAAUAAGUUAAAACUUUCAACAACGGAUCUCUUGGUUCUA
rnacentral:misc_RNA from 1 species